UAUAAAAUUUUGAAGUACUCUGUCAUUUUUGCUAAAAACAAAGGAAUUAUAUGCAUAAAGAGUACUGUUUGUUGUGUUUACAAAGCUUAAAGCUCAUAACGUUUGGGGGUGUGUUUUCGUGGGAUUCCUUAUUAGUGGUGCUUUUUCUUUUCCAUCAACUGGUAUUCGGUUCUCCGUGUUAAGCAAAUAUCUACAUAUUAUGUAUUAUAUAUUAUAUAAGUAAAUUAAAACUAAGUGUUUCGGAAUGUAAUUAAGCAGCAUUAUCCACAUAAAAUAAUGGUACGAAAAAAACGGGAAAGCAUAAUAAAGAAAAAUAUUCAAGGACGAAGUUACCUUAAAAAAAUAUGUUGUUCGUAUAUAAUAUUGUCCAUAUUCGUAAUUGCUAAUGCCUUGCCCCCAGUAAUACGCGUAGGUGCCAUAUUUACGGAAGAUGAACGUGAAAGCAGUAUUGAAUCGGCAUUUAAAUACGCAAUAUACCGUAUUAAUAAGGAAAAGAGUCUUCUUCCCAAUACCCAAUUGGUUUACGAUAUUGAGUAUGUGCCCCGAGAUGACUCGUUUCGCACUACGAAAAAGGUUUGCAGCCAGUUGGAAGCAGGUGUUCAAGCAAUUUUUGGACCAACAGAUGCUCUUCUAGCUAGUCAUGUACAAUCCAUAUGCGAAGCAUAUGAUAUACCCCAUAUUGAAGGUCGAAUUGACCUCGAAUAUAAUUCUAAAGAAUUUUCUAUAAAUUUAUAUCCGUCGCAUACGCUCUUAACUCUAGCAUAUAGAGAUAUAAUGGCGUAUUUGAACUGGACGAAGGUGGCAAUAAUUUAUGAAGAAGAUUAUGGUCUAUUUAAUUUGAUGCACUCAACAACUGAGACGAAAGCGGAAAUGUAUAUAAGGCAAGCGAGUCCGGAUUCCUACCGUCAAGUUCUGCGAGCGAUACGCCAAAAGGAAAUUUACAAAAUAAUAGUGGAUACAAAUCCAUCCCAUAUAAAAUCGUUUUUUAGAUCCAUUUUGCAACUACAAAUGAAUGACCAUCGUUACCAUUAUAUGUUUACAACAUUCGACUUGGAGACAUAUGAUCUGGAAGAUUUCAGAUAUAACAGCGUAAAUAUAACUGCAUUUCGGCUGGUAGAUGUCGAUAGCAAAAGAUAUCUCGAAGUAAUUAAUCAAAUGCAGAAAUUACAACACAAUGGAUUGAACAUUAUAAAUGGAAUUCCUUAUAUACAGACGGAGUCUGCAUUAAUGUUUGAUUCGGUGUACGCGUUUGCGAAUGGACUGCACUUUCUAAAUUUAGAUAAUCACCAAAAUUUUUAUAUCAAAAACCUAUCCUGCACCUCCGACCAAACCUGGAAUGAUGGAAUUUCGUUGUAUAACCAAAUAAAUGCAGCCAUCACAGACGGACUGACUGGCACUGUCCACUUUAUGGAAGGUUGGAUAUUGGCAUCCCGACGACGGUGUUAACAUUUCGGAUCCAACGGCAUUCUACGAUUCAAAUAUCGCAAAUAUUACCUUGGUCGUUAUGACUAGAGAGGAGCGGCCGUAUGUUAUGGUUAAAGAAGACAAAAAUCUAACUGGAAAUUUAAGGUUUGAAGGAUUUUGUAUUGAUCUUUUAAAAGCAAUC
rnacentral:misc_RNA from 1 species